GUGACGGUACCUGAGGAAUCAGCMUCGGCUAACUCCGUGCCAGCAGCCGCGGUAAUACGGAGGAGGCAAGCGUUAUCCGGAAUGAUUGGGCGUAAAGCGUCCGUAGGUGGCAACUCAAGUCUGCUGUCAAAGCCUGAGGCUUAACCUCAGAUCGGCAGUGGAAACUGAGUAGCUUGAGUGCGGUAGGGGCAGAGGGAAUUCCCGGUGUAGCGGUGAAAUGCGUAGAGAUCGGGAAGAACACCGGUGGCGAAAGCGCUCUGCUGGGCCGCAACUGACACUGAGGGACGAAAGCUAGGGGAGCGAAUGGGAUUAGAUACCCCAGUAGUCCUAGCUGUAAACGAUGGAAACUAGGUGUUGCCUGUAUCGACCCGGGCAGUGCCGUAGCUAACGCGU
rnacentral:rRNA from 1 species